rnacentral:misc_RNA from 1 species
GUGAUCAAAUCUUUCUGCACCUUGUAAGACACCCAGAUUUCCAGCGUGAAACAUUGGAAAUGAAAUUGGUAUUUGGAUGAUCGGAAAACUAAAAUAAAAGAUAAUGUAUGCAAGGUAGAUACACUUAGGCUAUUUAUUCUCAUUUUUCUUCUUCCUCCAUCAACUUUUGUCAUUCUAUGGAAACUCCAUGCAAUCAUCAAUUCCCGCAGGAGAAAAAGAUGCAUGUUGGGAGUUUUGGACUUUAAAGUGAUAAUCGGAAACAUAAUUUUCAAAUUGAUCUUCAAAUCAAGAAUCGAAAUUUUCAAUUUAU